rnacentral:rRNA from 1 species
GAUGAACGCUAGCGGCAGGCCUAAUACAUGCAAGUCGAACGAGAUCAAGAGCUUCGGUUCUUGGUUUAGUGGCGCACGGGUGCGUAACGCGUAUGCAACCUACCUUCCACAGGGGGAUAGCCCACCGAAAGGUGGAUUAAUACCGCAUAAGACCACGGUCCUGGCAUCAGGAUGUGGUCAAAGCUUUGGCGGUGGAAGAUGGGCAUGCGUGCCAUUAGUUAGUUGGUAGGGUAACGGCCUACCAAGACUUCGAUGGCUAGGGGUUCUGAGAGGAUGGUCCCCCACACUGGUACUGAGACACGGACCAGACUCCUACGGGAGGCAGCAGUAGGGAAUAUUGGGCAAUGGCCGAGAGGCUGACCCAGCCAUGCCGCGUGCAGGAAGAAGGCCUUCUGGGUUGUAAACUGCUUUUAUCUGGGAAGAAAACGCCCCUGCGGGGGUAACUGACGGUACCAGAUGAAUAAGCACCGGCUAACUCCGUGCCAGCAGCCGCGGUAAUACGGAGGU